GUAGUCCACGCUGUAAACGAUGAGAACUAGACGUUGGUCAGCUUGGCUGAUCGGUGUCGUAGCUAACGCGCUAAGUUCUCCGCCUGGGGAGUACGGCCGCAAGGUUGAAACUCAAAGAAAUUGACGGGGGCCCGCACAAGCGGUGGAGUAUGUGGUUUAAUUCGAUGCAACGCGAAGAACCUUACCUGGUCUUGACAUGUUAGGAACCUUACAGAGAUGUAGGGGUGCCGCAAGGAGCCUAAACACAGGUGCUGCAUGGCUGUCGUCAGCUCGUGUCGUGAGAUGUUGGGUUAAGUCCCGCAACGAGCGCAACCCUUGUCCUUAGUUGCCAUCAUUUAGUUGGGCACUCUAAGGAGACUGCCGGUGACAAACCGGA
rnacentral:rRNA from 1 species